rnacentral:rRNA from 1 species
AUGUACAUUCCUACAACAUAGAAUUAAUGCAUCAGAUCCCAUUAGAACUCCAUAGUUAAGUGCGCUCAGGAUAGAGUAGUACUGUGAUGAGUGACCACUUGAGAAGUCCUAGUGUUUUACAUG